UGAGCAAUCUGCCCUUCACAUCGGAAUAACCAUUGGAAACGAUGGCUAAUACCGAAUAUGACUUCGGAUCGCAUGAUCUGAAGUGGAAAGCUCCGGCGGUGAAGGAUGAGCUCGCGGCCUAUCAGCUUGUUGGUGAGGUAAUGGCUCACCAAGGCGAUGACGGGUAGCCGGCCUGAGAGGGUGACCGGCCACACUGGGACUGAGACACCGGCA
rnacentral:rRNA from 1 species